rnacentral:rRNA from 1 species
UACGUAGGGUGCAAGCGUUGUCCGGAAUUAUUGGGCGUAAAGAGCUCGUAGGCGGUCUGUCGCGUCGGAUGUGAAAAUCCAGGGCUCAACCCUGGACCUGCAUUCGAUACGGGCAGACUAGAGUUCGGCAGGGGAGACUGGAAUUCCUGGUGUAGCGGUGGAAUGCGCAGAUAUCAGGAGGAACACCGGUGGCGAAGGCGGGUCUCUGGGCAGUAACUGACGCUGAGGAGCGAAAGCGUGGGGGAGCGAACAGG